AUACUUACCUGGAUGGGGUCAAUGGAUGAUCAUUAAGGUCCAUGGCCUAGAUUUGAUGACCUCCAUUGCACUUGGGAGGGGUGUUAAUCUAAGGUCUCCUCAAGUAGGAGAGCCUACAUCAUAAUUUGUGGCAGUAGGGGCCUGCGUUCGCGCAACCCCUUC
rfam:Cajanus cajan Scaffold000028_4, whole genome shotgun sequence.